rnacentral:rRNA from 1 species
GAUGAACGCUAGCGGCAGGCCUAAUACAUGCAAGUCGAACGGGAUCCAGAUCAAAGCUUGCUUUGGUCUGGUGAGAGGGGCGCACGGGUGCGUAACGCGUGAGCAACAUACCCUUAUCAGGGGGAUAGCACGGCGAAAGUCGGAUUAAUACCGCAUGACACCAUUGAGAGGCAUCUUUCGAUGAUCAAAGAUUUAUCGGACAAGGAUGGGCUCGCGUGACAUUAGCUAGUUGGUAAGGGAACGGCUUACCAAGGCUGCGAUGUCUAGGGGCUCUGAGAGGAGAAUCCCCCACACUGGUACUGAGACACGGACCAGGCUCCUGCCGCAGGCAGCAGUACGGAAUAUGGGACAAGGGACGGAAGUCUGAACCAGCCAUGCCGCGUGCAGGAAGACGGCCCUAUGGGUGUUAAACUGCUUUUAUACGGGAACAAACGUCGGUACGUGUACCGGUCUGAGUGUACCGUAAGAAUAAGGAUCGGCUAACUCCGUG